GAUGAACGCUGGCGGCGUGCCUAAUACAUGCAAGUCGAGCGAACAGACGAGGAGCUUGCUCCUCUGACGUUAGCGGCGGACGGGUGAGUAACACGUGGAUAACCUACCUAUAAGACUGGGAUAACUUCGGGAAACCGGAGCUAAUACCGGAUAACAUGUUGAACCGCAUGGUUCAACAGUGAAAGACGGUCUUGCUGUCACUUAUAGAUGGAUCCGCGCCGCAUUAGCUAGUUGGUAUGGUAACGGCUUACCAAGGCAACGAUGCGUAGCCGACCUGAGAGGGUGAUCGGCCACACUGGAACUGAGACACGGUCCAGACUCCUACGGGAGGCAGCAGUAGGGAAUCUUCCGCAAUGGGCGAAAGCCUGACGGAGCAACGCCGCGUGAGUGAAGAAGGUCUUCGGAUCGUAAAACUCUGUUAUUAGGGAAGAACAAAUGUGUAAGUAACUAUGCACGUCUUGACGGUACCUAAUCAGAAAGCCACGGCUAACUACGU
rnacentral:rRNA from 1 species